AGUGAACGCUGGCGGUAGGCCUAACACAUGCAAGUCGAACGGCAGCACAGUAAUAGCUUGCUCUUACGGGUGGCGAGUGGCGGACGGGUGAUGAAUACAUCGGAAUCUACUUUUUCGUGGGUGAUAACGUAGGGAAACUUACGCUAAUACCGCAUACGACCUACGGGUGAAAGCAUGGGAUCUUCGGACCUUGCGCGAUUGAAUGAGCCGAUGUCGGAUUAGCUAGUUGGCGGGGUAAAGGCCCACCAAGGCGACGAUCCGUAGCUGGUCUGAGAGGAUGAUCAGCCACACUGGAACUGAGACACGGUCCAGACUCCUACGGGAGGCAGCAGUGGGGAAUAUUGGACAAUGGGCGCAAGCCUGAUCCAGCCAUACCGCGUGGGUGAAGAAGGCCUUCGGGUUGUAAAGCCCUUUUGUUGGGAAAGAAAAGCAGCAGGUUAAUACCCCGCUGUUCUGACGGUACCCAAAGAAUAAGCACCGGCUAACUUCGUG
rnacentral:rRNA from 1 species